GCAGGUAUGGUCUAAUGGUAUGAUCUCUGACUUCCAAUCAGAGGACAUGGGUUCGAUUCCCAUUAUCUGCUCCA
rnacentral:tRNA from 1 species